rnacentral:rRNA from 1 species
GAACCGUGCGAACGUUGUUCGGAAUCACUGGGCUUAAAGGGCGCGUAGGCGGCCGGCCAAGUCGCGGGUGAAAUCGUCCGGCCCAACCGGACAAGGGCCCGCGAGACUGGCCGGCUCGAGCGAGGUAGGGGUGGGGGGAACUUCCGGUGGAGCGGUGAAAUGCGUUGAUAUCGGAAGGAACGCCGGCGGCGAAAGCGCCCCACUGGACCUCUCCUGACGCUGAGGCGCGAAAGCCAGGGGAGCGAACGGGAUUAGAUACCCCGGUAGUCCUGGCCCUAAACGAUGGGCACUGGGUAGUGGGCCUUAAGGGCUCACUGCCGCAGCCAAAGUGGUAAGUGCCCCGCCUGGGGAGUAUGGUCGCAAGGCUGAA